GAUGAACGCUGGCGGCGUGCCUAAUACAUGCAAGUCGAGCGAACAGAUAAGGAGCUUGCUCCUUUGACGUUAGCGGCGGACGGGUGAGUAACACGUGGGUAACCUACCUAUAAGACUGGAAUAACUCCGGGAAACCGGGGCUAAUGCCGGAUAACAUUUAGAACCGCAUGGUUCUAAAGUGAAAGAUGGUUUUGCUAUCACUUAUAGAUGGACCCGCGCCGUAUUAGCUAGUUGGUAAGGUAACGGCUUACCAAGGCAACGAUACGUAGCCUACCUGAGAGGGUGAUCGGCCACACUGGAACUGAGACACGGUCCAGACUCCUACGGGAGGCAGCAGUAGGGAAUCUUCCGCAAUGGGCGAAAGCCUGACGGAGCAACGCCGCGUGAGUGAUGAAGGUCUUCGGAUCGUAAAACUCUGUUAUUAGGGAAGAACAAAUGUGUAAGUAACUGUGCACGUCUUGACGGUACCUAAUCAGAAAGCCACGGCUAACUACGUG
rnacentral:rRNA from 1 species